rnacentral:rRNA from 1 species
CUACUUGUGAACUGCAGGACACAUGAACAUCGACAUUUCGAACGCACAUUGCGGUCCUCGGAUACUGUUCCCGGACCACUCCUGGCUGAGGGUCGUAU